rnacentral:snRNA from 1 species
AAAAAGGGCGUGCCAUGAUGCCAUUCUCUAGGGAACUGGUUUGAUAUGGCGGGAGUCUUGGUUUACUCUCGCGGUAUGGCAAUCAAGACAUAUCGAGCGCAUAAUUUUUUGAUUUAGGUGGCUCGCACUAGGCUUCGCUCAAGCCGGGGCUACCUU